AUAGUUGUAAAAGUGACACCAAUAUGGAAGCCACGAGUGUGGUUACCAACUUUGUUGGUGAUGCCAGUCUACCACACUAGUGUCACUUUUACCACACCGGUACACGUAUUAAAUGCAGGAAUAAAUGCCUCGUUACCUCUGAUACCAUGUUUUGUCCCUUUAAUUCUUUUUACAACAGUCAUCACAACUUUAUGGUGCCUAUUUUUGAAAAUGUAGCCGUCUUGUUUUUUUUUUCACCCAUCUUGUUUUUUUCGCCCUAUCGCACUAUUUUUGCAGUCUGCAGAGGAUGUCAUCCAUAAAAUUUACUUGCUGUGGCCUGAAUAAAAACUGCUUUGAUGGCUAACUCUUGCGGUUCUUUUACACGAUCUAUGAGAAUGCUUUUCUCUCCGUUUGAGCCCCGCGAGCACGCACUGACAUGUACCUGUAAGUAGUGCGUGCUCGGAGUCAUGUUUGAACCCCGUUUGAGCGUGCGUGCUCCGAGUCAUGUGAUCUUCGUUUUGCUAACUAUGGAUAAGCGUCCCGGGCACUCUGCCCCAAGUUCUCCCGCCUGAUACACACAAAAUGCUGCUAGUCGAAGAGAGUUUUUUUUUCCCGAGGAUACGUUGGUGCACGUAGCCGGGCCAGUAGUUUUGCCUCAAGGUAUCGGGAACACGAGGAACCAUCCCAGCUGACCCAGUUCAGCAGCGGAGGGAUGUAUAUGAAAAGACAACGAACCGCCGAACUUAUCAGUUGAGACGAAACGCGGCUCGGAGAGAUCAUAGCUUCCGAGUGACAACAACGAGGUGUUCCUGACACCCGUACAUAUGUCCAUCAGGACGACGCAGUUCCACCACAACGUGCACAGUCACAGAGAUUCCUACCACAGCAGGGAAAGUUGGUCGAGACCUUCCACUGCAAGUCGGUGAGACGAGCUACAUCGCUGGAUGAGCCGGAAUAGACGUCCGUGUGCCUUUUAUAGUUGGGAAGAAGGGAACCCAGAACAGCGCCGUCGACAGGAGGAAGGCAACGAGAGGAGAGUGCCAGACGAGCAGCAGAUCUAGAGCAGCCAAUCGAUUGCGCUGCUACAACCAUAGUAAACCUGAAACUAUUUAGAGAAUUCACAGACUGGUUUUGAGUUGAUUUAUACCAUGACUAUGUAUUUUAAUGUACCAGGUAUACAUUGUAAAGUAGUAGUUGAUUGUACAUGUAUAUCAAAGAAGCGUAGAACAGCGACGAUGGACCGAAUCAAACCUGAGGUGGAUAUAGUAAUGGAGAAAGCCCCCAUUGGAAUAUCCAUUACAAUUAUUCUGUAUCCAACCUGUGACCGAAGUUAGCGGGGUCAGCAUUAUGUAGUAACGUCAAACACAGUCUCCCGUGCCCAGUGUACGGAAAACCUUG